UGGCGUUAAAAAGUAACUCUUGUUUUUAGUCUUCUUGAACAAAAUUACGUCUAAGGCUCCCAGAAUGGGGACCAGAGAUGGGAAGAACAUAGGAGACGUUGUACACAAGAUCUAAGAGAAGAGGGAGAUGAAGAGACUACAAAUGAUGUUCCCCAUAUCCAGUGUGGAGAUGGCUGUGACCCCCAAGGACUCAGGGACAACAGUCAGUUCUGCUUGCAAAGGAUCCACCAGGGUCUGAUUUUUUAUGAGAAGCUGCUAGGAUCGGAUAUUUUCACAGGGGAGCCUUCUCUGCUCCCUGAUAGCCCUGUGGGCCAGCUUCAUGCCUCCCUACUGGGCCUCAGCCAACUCCUGCAGCCUGAGGGUCACCACUGGGAGACUCAGCAGAUUCCAAGCCUCAGUCCCAGCCAGCCAUGGCAGCGUCUCCUUCUCCGCUUCAAAAUCCUUCGCAGCCUCCAGGCCUUUGUGGCUGUAGCCGCCCGGGUCUUUGCCCAUGGAGCAGCAACCCUGAGUCCCUAAAGGCAGCAGCUCAAGGAUGGCACUCAGAUCUCCAUGGCCCAGCAAGGCCAAGAUAAAUCUACCACCCCAGGCACCUGUGAGCCAACAGGUUAAUUAGUCCAUUAAUUUUAGUGGGACCUGCAUAUGUUGAAAAUUACCAAUACUGACUGACAUGUGAUGCUGACCUAUGAUAAGGUUGAGUAUUUAUUAGAUGGGAAGGGAAAUUUGGGGAUUAUUUAUCCUCCU
rnacentral:sRNA from 1 species